UACGGGGGGUGCGAGCGUUGUCCGGAAUCACUGGGCGUAAAGGGUGCGUAGGUGGUUGUGCAAGUCUGAUGUGAAAUCUCCGGGCUUAACCCGGAAAUGGCAUUGGAAACUGCAUAGCUAGAGGGUUGGAGGGGGGACUGGAAUACUUGGUGUAGCAGUGAAAUGCGUAGAUAUCAAGUGGAACACCAGUGGCGAAGGCGAGUCCCUGGACAACACCUGACACUGAGGCACGAAAGCUAGGGGAGCAAACAGG
rnacentral:rRNA from 1 species